rnacentral:tRNA from 4 species
GCAGGAAUAGCUCAGUUGGUAGAGCAUCUCGUUUACACCGAGGCGGUCGGGGGUUCAAGUCCCUCUUCCUGCACCA